AGUCGUAACAAGGUUUCCGUAGGUGAACCUGCGGAAGGAUCAUUACUAAACAAAUCCAAAAAUAAUGUUGAACCGUGUGGUGAUUAGUGAUUGGUUGUGCGUGGUGCGGAUGAUGAUUGGUGCGCUACGUUGUUGGUGCUUGUGGGUAUGAGAUAGGCAAUGUGCGCACACCGUGUGUGUGUGUUUAUUGCCCAGCCAUCCCCUCGUAUCAGCAGCAUGCAUUUGUUAUCAAUCAGAUUCUUCUCUCACAAACAAUCAAUCACAAAUCACAACAAUUAUAAAACCCAAUCUUGAUGUGCGAAUGGACAACAUAUAACAAAUUAAAUUUAUAAAAAGCAUAACUUUUAACAAUGGAUCUCUUGGCUCUU
rnacentral:misc_RNA from 1 species